CAAUAACCUCGUAUGUGAUUGGAGGACCCUUAGACUCCUCGUCCAAUCACGUGUGAGGUCAUAGGCAUGACUGAUACAGCAGUACUUGCAAGACGAGCAUGCAAACAGACACGUGUGUUACUAUAUUCAGAAGAACUGUAUCUCCAGUUCCUUUGUUUGGUUUUUGCUGCUUCGUGAAUAAUGGCUGGACGACGUCUCGCGUUCAACUCGCCUUCAACUCCUCUCCGCGGUCACCAACGUUCGGCCAGUCCGCAGACAGACGAGAAGAAGCUGCUGAAUGCUCUCAGUGGAUCGUCUCGUCAACUCCAACAACAAACUGCCGAUAUCAACGAGCGGUUCGCUCCGCUGGAGCGUUCGGGACUCUGCGGGUUUCUGUCCAUGGAGGAGAGGAACCGACUCAAAGAAGAGGAGACGGGCGCACGAUCCCAAGAUAGCGACUAAUCUCGCCUCAUAAUGAGGCGGUGACCUCGUAUUUGCUCCGGGAAAAGUCCAGAUUUAGACAACGUCAUUGUGUCCGCCUGUGAGACGUAUUUUGAGACGGGACGCAGGAGCUUCAGGUUCAGGCGGAACACUCAUUGCGGGCGGAAGCUGCGAACGAUUCA
ensembl:lncRNA